rnacentral:rRNA from 1 species
AACGAACGCUGGCGGCAGGCCUGACACAUGCAAGUCGAGCGAGGACUUCGGUCCUAGCGGCGGACGGGUGAGUAACGCGUGGGAACGUGCCCUUUGCUUCGGAAUAGCCCUGGGAAACUGGGAGUAAUACCGGAUGAGCCCUUUGGGGGAAAGAUUUAUCGGCGAAGGAUCGGCCCGCGUUGGAUUAGGUAGUUGGUGGGGUAAUGGCCUACCAAGCCGACGAUCCAUAGCUGGUUUGAGAGGAUGAUCAGCCACACUGGGACUGAGACACGGCCCAGACUCCUACGGGAGGCAGCAGUGGGGAAUCUUAGACAAUGGGGGAAACCCUGAUCUAGCCAUGCCGCGUGAGCGAUGAAGGCCUUAGGGUUGUAAAGCUCUUUCAGCUGGGAAGAUAAUGACGGUACCAGCAGAAGAAGCCCCGGCUAACUCCGUG